AGAACUGAUAAUCUGAAAAGUGGAAUGAAGGAGUAACGUCCUGAAACGCUUUCCCUGAUACUCCGAUUAGCGUUUGUAUUUGUAGUAUAAUAUGAAUGUUAAAAGCUCGGUAAAGUCGACUGAGAGAUACCGUAACUUGUGCAAACAGAACGAAAGCUGCCCGGAGGCGGAUAGUGUAUCCCAUAGGUCGGGGGUCUAUAAA
rnacentral:ncRNA from 1 species